AUUGAACGCUGGCGGCAUGCCUUACACAUGCAAGUCGAACGGUAACAGAUCUUCAGCUUGUGCUGACGGGCGGACGGUGGCGUACGAGUUCGGAACGUGCCCGAACCUGGGUUUUCACGGGGCGAAAGCUUUGCUAACACACCCUAAUAUCUCCGGCUACCUGCGGGUGACCGCAAGGCCUCUUGCGACCUUGCGCGCUGAUGUCAGAUUAGGUAGUUGGUGGGAUAAAAGCCUACCAAGCCGACGAUCUGUAGCUGGUCUGAGAGGAUGAUCAGCCACACUGGAACUGAGACACGGCCCAGACUCCUACGGGAGGCAGCAGUGGGGAAUAUUGGACAAAGGGCGAAAGCCUGAUCCAGCCAUGCCGCGUGGGGGAUGAAGGCCUUCGGGUUGUAAACUGCUUUUGUAGGGAAAGAAAAGACUCUGGUUAAUACCUCGGGUCCAUGACGGUACCGUAAGAAUAAGCACCGGCUAACUACGUG
rnacentral:rRNA from 1 species